AGGGGCUCUGGCAGAUGACUACAAAAUAGUCCAACCUUUGGCAAUACUCUCAGUGGCCCUCAUGCAUCUAGAAUAUGCUCUAAGAGAGAGGUCCACGGCAUGCCAGCUUCUUAAUUGCUUCAAGAUAGGAGAGAAGGAACCAGUCCCGUGGGUAGAAGCCAAUCACUGGAAAAUUUGGAAUGUUGGAUACACAGUCCAUCUCUUCCCCUCCCCAUGAAGAACCUGGGAUUUGGGGGGUUUCAGCAGUGCACUCUGUGUUGAACCUCGGAGAGAGGCUACAGGGCUUACUUGCUUGAUGGAUAUCCUCUACACUCCUCUUUUUGUCCUCAGGGACUCCCACACAGGGUCCCUUCCUGUUAAGACUCAGAUUCAGGUGUUUGUCCAGCUAUUGUGAACAUGGGGGUGAAUGUUCCCAGUCCUGGGACACCUUCUCCUUUGACUGCACUCACAUGGGGUACGCAGGAGCCACCUGC